CCAAGGGCAACGCUGGGUAGCUGUGUGCCGAAGGGAUAACCGCUGAAAGCAUCUAAGUGGGAAGCCCCUCCUAAGAUAAGAUAUCCCGGGCCGCAAGGCUCCUAAAGGUCACUCGGAGACUACGAGUUUGAUAGGCCGGAUGUGUAAGUCCAGUAAUGGAUUGAGCUUACCGGUACUAAUUGACCGUGAGGCUUGACCAUAAUAAUAUCUAAGCGUUUGGG
rnacentral:rRNA from 2 species